UGGGGAAUUUUGGACAAUGGACGCAAGUCUGAUCCAGCCAUGCCGCGUGCGGGAAGAAGGCCUUCGGGUUGUAAACCGCUUUUGUCAGGGAAGAAACGAGUUUCUCUAAUACAGAGACUUGAUGACGGUACCUGAAGAAUAAGCACCGGCUAACUACGUGCCGGCAGCCGCGGUAAUACGUAGGGUGCAAGCGUUAAUCGGAAUUACUGGGCGUAAAGCGUGCGCAGGCGGUUAUGCAAGACAGGGGUGAAAUCCCCGGGCUCAACCUGGGAACUGCUUUGUGACUGCAUAGCUAGAGUACGGUAGAGGGGGAUGGAAUUCCGCGUGUAGCAGUGAAAUGCGUAGAUAUGCGGAGGAACACCGAUGGCGAAGGCAAUCCCCUGGACCUGUACUGACGCUCAUGCACGAAAGCGUGGGGAGCAAACA
rnacentral:rRNA from 1 species